rnacentral:rRNA from 1 species
UGAACGCUGGCGGCGUGCCUAAUACAUGCAAGUCGAGCGAACAGACGAGGAGCUUGCUCCUCUGACGUUAGCGGCGGACGGGUGAGUAACACGUGGAUAACCUACCUAUAAGACUGGGAUAACUUCGGGAAACCGGAGCUAAUACCGGAUAAUAUAUUUAACCGCAUGGUUCAAUAGUGAAAGACGGUUUUGCUGUCACUUAUAGAUGGAUCCGCGCCGCAUUAGCUAGUUGGUAAGGUAACGGCUUACCAAGGCAACGAUGCGUAGCCGACCUGAGAGGGUGAUCGGCCACACUGGAACUGAGACACGGUCCAGACUCCUACGGGAGGCAGCAGUAGGGAAUCUUCCGCAAUGGGCGAAAGCCUGACGGAGCAACGCCGCGUGAGUGAUGAAGGUCUUCGGAUCGUAAAACUCUGUUAUUAGGGAAGAACAAAUGUGUAAGUAACUAUGCACGUCUUGACGGUACCUAAUCAGAAAGCCACGGCUAAUUACGUG